CUUGUGGGGAAACCGAUGCCAACUCCAAGAGGCAAUAUAUGCAUCAUGAUUGGCUGCAAAACUAAGUGGGCAGAAGCAUAACCGCUAAAGAAUAAGCAAGCCGAGGAAGUACCACAAUGCAUUGUGGAAUUUUUCUGUGAAUAUGGCUCUCUGCCAAAGGCUUGAAAUUCAGAGGAGUUUUUGUGCACCAUAUCAUCCACAGACCAAUGGACUGGUUGAAAGGACAAAUGGGACAGUGACAAGAACCCCCGCCAAAUUGGUGGAGGGAGAAGCCAUGAAACUGGGAUCUGUGCCUCAGUGCAGCCAUGUUUUGGUUUACGCACAAAGAUAGAUCACCACAGAGUACUUUAUGCUUGGCAGAGACGCCAGGUACCUGACUAUAUUGAGGACAUUGUGGCUGAGGAGGUUCUUUCAGUGUCUGAAGCUACAAGAACAUCUUUUAAAGUUGUUUCAGAAAAUGUUGAAGAGGCCAGUGAAAAACAAAAAAGGGAAGGGCUGAACAAGUGAGUGAGGAUUUUUAACUGGGAGAGCUUGUCUUCAAGAACAUGAAAUGUAAAAAAAAAAAAUUAAGGAGACAAGCUGGCAAAUGACAGACUGGGGCCUUUUAGAAUUUUAAGUUUGCAAGGCAAAAGUGCCGAUCUGCAGUCAGUUAAAUCCAGCAGCAAUCUGAUCCAGCAGAUCAGCACCAUCUUACUAAAUGUAUAGAAUCAGAAAAUCUGGUUCCUUAUGGAUUACAAACUGCCCCAUCCCACACAACUAGUCAUUUUGUCCUCACUCUCACCACGUGCAUCUGCUUCCACCAAAUCUUCCCCACCCUGCCAGUGUGUUCUUGUGACCUCAGAAUACGCUACCUGUAUUUCUGAAGCUUCAGAAUCUGCCCCACCCUCCCUGUAGGUUCCUGUGACAACAAAAUCUGCCCCAACCUCCCCAUGUUUCUGUCGCCCAUUAAUGGUUAUCUUGUAUUUGCUAGCUAUACUAAUUGGAUUAUUCUUAUCCAUAUUUGAUUAUACAUAAAAAGGAGAAAAAAUGGAAACAACACCGGGUUUCUGAGCAAAUUGAGUACAUUUUUGAUUUAAUAAAGAGAAA